GAUGAACGCUGGCGGCGUGCCUAAUACAUGCAAGUCGAGCGAACAGACGAGGAGCUUGCUCCUCUGACGUUAGCGGCGGACGGGUGAUUAACACGUGGAUAACCUACCUAUAAGACUGGGAUAACUUCGGGAAACCGGAGCUAAUACCGGAUAAUAUAUUGAACCGCAUGGUUCAAUAGUGAAAGACGGUUUUGCUGUCACUUAUAGAUGGAUCCGCGCCGCAUUAGCUAGUUGGUAAGGUAACGGCUUACCAAGGCAACGAUGCGUAGCCGACCUGAGAGGGUGAUCGGCCACACUGGAACUGAGACACGGUCCAGACUCCUACGGGAGGCAGCAGUAGGGAAUCUACCGCAAUGGGCGAAAGCCUGACGGAGCAACGCCGCGUGAGUGAUGAAGGUCUUCGGAUCGUAAAACUCUGUUAUUAGGGAAGAACAAAUGUGUAAGUAACUAUGCACGUCUUGACGGUACCUAAUCAGAAAGCCACGGCUAACUACGUG
rnacentral:rRNA from 1 species